UGGGGAAUUUUGGACAAUGGGCGCAAGCCUGAUCCAGCAAUGCCGCGUGCAGGAUGAAGGCCUUCGGGUUGUAAACUGCUUUUGUACGGAGCGAAAAGGUCUGCCCUAAUACGGUGGGCUCAUGACGGUACCGUAAGAAUAAGCACCGGCUAACUACGUGCCAGCAGCCGCGGUAAUACGUAGGGUGCGAGCGUUAAUCGGAAUUACUGGGCGUAAAGCGUGCGCAGGCGGUUAUAUAAGACAGUUGUGAAAUCCCCGGGCUCAACCUGGGACCUGCAUUUGUGACUGUAUAGCUAGAGUACGGUAGAGGGGGAUGGAAUUCCGCGUGUAGCAGUGAAAUGCGUAGAUAUGCGGAGGAACACCGAUGGCGAAGGCAAUCCCCUGGACCUGUACUGACGCUCAUGUACGAAAGCGUGGGGAGCAAACA
rnacentral:rRNA from 1 species